UACGUAGGUGGCAAGCGUUGUCCAGAAUCACUGGGCGUAAAGCGCGCGCAGGCGGCGAUCUACGUCUGGGGUGAAAGCCCGGAGCUCAACUCCGGGACUGCCUUGGAUACGGGAUCGCUUGAGGAUUGGAGAGGCAAGGGGAAUUCCACGUGUAGCGGUGAAAUGCGUAGAUAUGUGGAGGAACACCUGUGGCGAAGGCGCCUUGCUGGCCAAUUUCUGACGCUGAGGCGCGAAAGCGUGGGGAGCAAACAGG
rnacentral:rRNA from 1 species